UACGAAGGGGGCUAGCGUUGCUCGGAAUUACUGGGCGUAAAGGGCGCGUAGGCGGUCCUGUUAGUCAGGCGUGAAAUUCCUGGGCUUAACCUGGGGGCUGCGCUUGAUACAGCUGGACUUGAGGUCAGAAGAGGGUCGUGGAAUUCCCAGUGUAGAGGUGAAAUUCGUAGAUAUUGGGAAGAACACCGGUGGCGAAGGCGGCGACCUGGUCUGAUACUGACGCUGAGGCGCGACAGCGUGGGGAGCAAACAGGAUUAGAUACCCUGGUAGUCCACGCCGUAAACGAUGUGCGCUGGAUGUUGGGGCCCUUAGGGCUUCAGUGUCGUAGCUAACGCGGUAAGCGCACCGCCUGGGGAGUACGGCCGCAAGGUUGAA
rnacentral:rRNA from 1 species